AUGGCACCCUACACCGCUAUCCGCCCGGGAACUACGAGCAUCAGCUUAAAACCCAAAGGACUUGGCGGUGCUUUAAACCCAUCUAGAGGAGCCUGUUCUAGAAUCGAUAAUCCCCGAUUCAACCUCACCCCCCCUUGUUUUUACCCGCCUAUAUACCGCCGUACGUCAGCUUACCCUGUGAAGGUAAGCAUAGUAAGGCAUAGUUGAUGAUAAUCUAAAAACGUCAGUUCGAGUUGUCAGCGAUAUGAACCAGGGCAGAAAUAGGCUACAUGGCUUGGGAACCCGCAAAAUCAAAU
rnacentral:rRNA from 1 species